rnacentral:rRNA from 1 species
GACGAACGCUGGCGGCGUGCCUAAUACAUGCAAGUAGAACGCUGAAGAGAGGAGCUUGCUCUUCUUGGAUGAGUUGCGAACGGGUGAGUAACGCGUAGGUAACCUGCCUUGUAGCGGGGGAUAACUAUUGGAAACGAUAGCUAAUACCGCAUAACAAUGGAUGACACAUGUCAUUUAUUUGAAAGGGGCAAUUGCUCCACUACAAGAUGGACCUGCGUUGUAUUAGCUAGUAGGUGAGGUAACGGCUCACCUAGGCGACGAUACAUAGCCGACCUGAGAGGGUGAUCGGCCACACUGAGACUGAGACACGGCCCAGACUCCUACGGGAGGCAGCAGUAGGGAAUCUUCGGCAAUGGGGGCAACCCUGACCGAGCAACGCCGCGUGAGUGAAGAAGGUUUUCGGAUCGUAAAGCUCUGUUGUAAGUCAAGAACGAGUGUGAGAGUGGAAAGUUCACACUGUGACGGUAGCUUACCAGAAAGGGACGGCUAACUACGUG